CGGCGUAAAGCGUGGUUAAGAUAUUAAUUUAAUAGGGUCAAAUAGCUUCUAAGCAGUCAAAUGCUAUCGAAACCACAAAGCACAUCUACGAAAGUAACCCUAACACCUCUGACCCCACGAAAGCCAUAACACAAACUGGGAUUAGAUACCCCACUAUGUAUAGCUGUUAAAAUUGAUGGUACUUCACUCGAACCAUCCGCCGGGGGACUACGAGCCUCAGCUUAAAACCCAAAGGACCUGGCGGUGCUUUAGAUCCCCCUAGAGGAGCCUGUUCUGUAACUGACAACCCCCGUUAAACCUCACCACCCCUUGUUAAACCCGCCUAUAUACCACCGUCGUAAGCUUACCCUACUGAAGGUUAAAAAGUAAGCCCCAAUAGUAAUACUAAAGACGUCAGGUCGAGGUGUAGCGUAUGGAGUGGGAAGAAAUGGGCUACAUUUCCUAAUAGAGGAAAUACGAAUGGUAGUUUGAAAUAAACUACACUGAAGGAGGAUUUAGUAGUAAGAAAGGAAUAGAGUGCCCUACUGAAAAUGGCCCUAAAGCGCGUACAGACCGCCCGUCACUCUCCCCGAAACAACCUCUUUAUUCCUAAUAAUUUUAAUAAAAUAAGGUGAGAUAAGUCGUAA
rnacentral:rRNA from 1 species